AUGCAAUGAUGACCUCUUAGGACACCUUUGGAGGUUGUGACCAAUGAAAAGAAUUCUUGAAGGACUGAGUAUG